UUUUGUUCUCUCAAUUGCGAGAAACUUGGUGACGUUUAAGCGGAAGGCAAAUCCACUAAAUAGUGGUAUUGGCGGUCGAUUUUAAAAAUUCAGAAACAUUCUCAAUACCACUAUGCUUGCUCUAUCGUUGACUAUUGGUGUAUCCAGGUCCUGAAGUUGGAGUUUAGUCAUGGGGCCUUCGAACACAGAUUUUGGUAUUUCCAUUGACAUUUAUAGAGUGCACACCGUAUUAAUUUUGGUUUUACUAGGUUUGUUUCUGAGGUGCGCAGGAUUUCAAGAUCCAAAAAAGUGGCAUUGACGGGAUGGAUGGAUAACGUUGGAAAGGGCUUAUCCGUGUUCAAAUUUUGAACGUUGCACAAAAAUUACUAGCUUUAGAUCUUGAGCAUUCCGUAUUUGAGUUUCACUGGGGAGUGAUGAAUGGUAACUAUGUUUGAGAAAUUACUUUAUAAAAGAGAUAUGUAUAGAGGAUCAGCAAUGCUCAGAUGAAAGAUGGUGUGCAGCUAGACCUGAAAUAAUGGCAAUGAAGAACAAAUAAGAUGGCCCGAGGAAAAGAGGAUUCCAACCUAUCACCUAGAGAUUUUUCAUACUUUUCAACACUUUUUGUUGCUAAUUUUCCAUUGUUGUCUCCUUUCGUUUCUUUUUGCAAUAUUAUUGUGGUUAUUAACGCAAUAUUAUUUCUCAUCCAU